rnacentral:rRNA from 1 species
GUUAUAUGGUCAAGUGAAGAAGCGCAUACGGUGGAUGCCUUGGCAGUCAGAGGCGAUGAAAGACGUGGUAGCCUGCGAAAAGCUUCGGGGAGUCGGCAAACAGACUGUGAUCCGGAGAUAUCUGAAUGGGGGAACCCAGCCAUCAUAAGAUGGUUAUCUUGUACUGAAUACAUAGGUGCAAGAGGCGAACCAGGGGAACUGAAACAUCUAAGUACCCUGAGGAAAAGAAAUCAACCGAGAUUCCCUUAGUAGUGGCGAGCGAACGGGGACCAGCCCUUAAGUUGUAUUGAGAUUAGCGGAACACUCUGGAAAGGGUGGCCAUAGUGGGUGAUAGCCCUGUACGCGAAAAUCCCUUUGCAAUGAAAUCGAGUAGGACGGGGCACGAGAAACCUUGUCUGAAUAUGGGGGGACCAUCCUCCAAGGCUAAAUACUACUGACUGACCGAUAGUGAACCAGUACCGUGAGGGAAAGGCGAAAAGAACCGCGGAGAGCGGAGUGAAAUAGAUCCUGAAACCGUAUGCGUACAAGCAGUGGGAGCCCACUUUGUUGGGUGACUGCGUACCUUUUGUAUAAUGGGUCAGCGACUUAUUUUCAGUGGCGAGCUUAACCGAAUAGGGGAGGCGUAGCGAAAGCGAGUCUUAAUAGGGCGUCUAGUCGCUGGGAAUAGACCCGAAACCGGGCGAUCUAUCCAUGGGCAGGUUGAAGGUUGGGUAACACUAACUGGAGGACCGAACCGACUACCGUUGAAAAGUUAGCGGAUGACCUGUGGAUCGGAGUGAAAGGCUAAUCAAGCUCGGAGAUAGCUGGUUCUCCUCGAAAGCUAUUUAGGUAGCGCCUCAUGUAUCACUGUAGGGGGUAGAGCACUGUUUCGGCUAGGGGGUCAUCCCGACUUACCAAACCGAUGCAAACUCCGAAUACCUACAAGUGCCGAGCAUGGGAGACACACGGCGGGUGCUAACGUCCGUCGUGAAAAGGGAAACAACCCAGACCGUCAGCUAAGGUCCCAAAGUCAUGGUUAAGUGGGAAACGAUGUGGGAAGGCUUAGACAGCUAGGAGGUUGGCUUAGAAGCAGCCACCCUUUAAAGAAAGCGUAAUAGCUCACUAGUCGAGUCGGCCUGCGCGGAAGAUGUAACGGGGCUCAAACCAUGCACCGAAGCUACGGGUAUCAUCUUUUGAUGAUGCGGUAGAGGAGCGUUCUGUAAGCCUGUGAAGGUGAGUUGAGAAGCUUGCUGGAGGUAUCAGAAGUGCGAAUGCUGACAUGAGUAACGACAAUGGGUGUGAAAAACACCCACGCCGAAAGACCAAGGUUUCCUGCGCAACGUUAAUCGACGCAGGGUUAGUCGGUCCCUAAGGCGAGGCUGAAAAGCGUAGUCGAUGGAAAACAGGUUAAUAUUCCUGUACUUCUGGUUAUUGCGAUGGAGGGACGGAGAAGGCUAGGCCAGCCUGGCGUUGGUUGUCCAGGUUUAAGGUGGUAGGCUGAGAUCUUAGGUAAAUCCGGGAUCUUAAGGCCGAGAGCUGAUGACGAGUGUUCUUUUAGAACACGAAGUGGUUGAUGCCAUGCUUCCAAGAAAAGCUUCUAAGCUUCAGGUAACCAGGAACCGUACCCCAAACCGACACAGGUGGUUGGGUAGAGAAUACCAAGGCGCUUGAGAGAACUCGGGUGAAGGAACUAGGCAAAAUGGCACCGUAACUUCGGGAGAAGGUGCGCCGGUGGAGGUGAAGCAUUUACUGCGUAAGCCCCUGCCGGUCGAAGAUACCAGGCCGCUGCGACUGUUUAUUAAAAACACAGCACUCUGCAAACACGAAAGUGGACGUAUAGGGUGUGACGCCUGCCCGGUGCCGGAAGGUUAAUUGAUGGGGUUAGCGCAAGCGAAGCUCUUGAUCGAAGCCCCGGUAAACGGCGGCCGUAACUAUAACGGUCCUAAGGUAGCGAAAUUCCUUGUCGGGUAAGUUCCGACCUGCACGAAUGGCGUAACGAUGGCGGCGCUGUCUCCACCCGAGACUCAGUGAAAUUGAAAUCGCUGUGAAGAUGCAGUGUAUCCGCGGCUAGACGGAAAGACCCCGUGAACCUUUACUAUAGCUUUGCACUGGACUUUGAAUUUGCUUGUGUAGGAUAGGUGGGAGGCUUUGAAGCGUGGACGCCAGUCUGCGUGGAGCCAACCUUGAAAUACCACCCUGGCAACUUUGAGGUUCUAACUCAGGUCCGUUAUCCGGAUCGAGGACAGUGUAUGGUGGGUAGUUUGACUGGGGCGGUCUCCUCCUAAAGAGUAACGGAGGAGUACGAAGGUGCGCUCAGACCGGUCGGAAAUCGGUCGUAGAGUAUAAAGGCAAAAGCGCGCUUGACUGCGAGACAGACACGUCGAGCAGGUACGAAAGUAGGUCUUAGUGAUCCGGUGGUUCUGUAUGGAAGGGCCAUCGCUCAACGGAUAAAAGGUACUCCGGGGAUAACAGGCUGAUACCGCCCAAGAGUUCAUAUCGACGGCGGUGUUUGGCACCUCGAUGUCGGCUCAUCACAUCCUGGGGCUGAAGCCGGUCCCAAGGGUAUGGCUGUUCGCCAUUUAAAGUGGUACGCGAGCUGGGUUUAGAACGUCGUGAGACAGUUCGGUCCCUAUCUGCCGUGGACGUUUGAGAUUUGAGAGGGGCUGCUCCUAGUACGAGAGGACCGGAGUGGACGAACCUCUGGUGUUCCGGUUGUCACGCCAGUGGCAUUGCCGGGUAGCUAUGUUCGGAAAAGAUAACCGCUGAAAGCAUCUAAGCGGGAAACUUGCCUCAAGAUGAGAUCUCACUGGAACCUUGAGUUCCCUGAAGGGCCGUCGAAGACUACGACGUUGAUAGGUUGGGUGUGUAAGCGCUGUGAGGCGUUGAGCUAACCAAUACUAAUUGCCCGUGAGGCUUGACCAUAUAACACCCAAGCAAUU